GGCAGGGAAGGAAACAUCAAAAAGAGGCAAGAUCUCGAUCUCGCAUUACAUAACCACAGUCGAGCGGCAUUGUUUUGUGAACCCACCGCCAUAAAUAGGCCUAUCCGAUGAACGCUAGACCCAAACGAAUUAUCGCAAAUCAAUGAGGCAUUAAGAUACAAUUGAACUGUGAGUGGGAGGCAAGACGACGACGAUGACCUUACUGAUCCCCAAGAUGACUUUCUCAAAAGGCAAAAUGUGAGAUGAACAGAAGCGUGCAAAAUAAAUGAAGCAAAUGUAUAAACAGA
rnacentral:lncRNA from 1 species